GACGAACGCUGGCGGCGUGCUUAACACAUGCAAGUCGAACGAGAAUCUGCUGAAGGAGGAUUCGUCCAACGGAAGCAGAGGAAAGUGGCGGACGGGUGAGUAACGCGUGAGGAACCUGCCUUGAAGAGGGGGACAACAGUUGGAAACGACUGCUAAUACCGCAUGACGCAUAGAGGUCGCAUGAUCUUUAUGCCAAAGAUUUAUCGCUUCAAGAUGGCCUCGCGUCUGAUUAGCUAGUUGGCGGGGUAACGGCCCGACCAAGGCGACGAUCAGUAGCCGGACUGAGAGGUUGAACGGCCACAUUGGGACUGAGAUACGGCCCAGACUCCUACGGAGGCAGCAGUGGGGAAUAUUGGGCAAUGGGCGCAAGCCUGACCCAGCAACGCCGCGUGAAGGAGAAGGCUUUCGGGUUGUAAAC
rnacentral:rRNA from 1 species